AACGAACGCUGGCGGCAUGCCUAACACAUGCAAGUCGAACGAGACCUUCGUGUCUAUUUGCGCACGGGUGCGUAACGCGUUGGAACCUUCCCUUAUGUUCGGAAUAACUCCCCUAAAUGGGUGCUAAUACCGGAUAAUUUCUUCUCACCAAAGGUUUAUCGCCUUUGUAUGUGCCCGCGUUGGUUUAGAUUGUUGGUAGGGUAAAAGCCUACCAAGGCGAGGAUCCUUAGAUGGUAUGAGAGGAUGAUCAGCCACACUGGGACUGAGACACGGACCAGAAUACUAGGGGAGGGAGGAGAGGGGAAUAUAGGAAAAUGGGGGAAAGGAAGAAGAAGCAAGGGCGGGAGAGUGAUGAAGGGAGUAGGGAAGAAAAGCAGGUUAAAACGGGAAGAUAAUGACAGUAACGGGAGAAUAAGCACCGGCUAACUACGUG
rnacentral:rRNA from 1 species